rnacentral:sRNA from 1 species
UAAUGGUCCUAAAUCUAGUAGACUUGUG